CCGCCAGCUCCCCCGGGCUGCCAGUCGAGCCCCGGGUGGGGCUCACUGGCCGCUGCCUGGUCAUCUGCCAGAGCCCAGGGCCCCGCCUAGGCCCUCCACGCUCCGCCCCGCGGCGCGGGCCGCAGGCUUUCCUAAAACAUACUGGGCGACCUCCGGCUGCCGCCUCCUGACAGCCCAUAGACGUCCAACCCCGCUGUCCCUAAGGGGAAACUUCGAGAUUGAAGGCCUGAGACUUUAUUCCCAACGGUCUGCCUAAAUCUCAGACAUAGACCGGUAGAGUUGAGGUGCUGGAGAACGGAGUAUCAUCCUCUAAACCUACGACCCACCGCCAUGCCCGAUUCCCAGUUCGGGCGUCAUCCCACCCGUCCCUUCCACUACCUUUUCCCACUCUGCCUCAGUUCUAGGAGCCCUCCCUCCACCAAUCUCAUAAGGCUCAAUAAAUACCAAAAGAUCUGCAUUUA